AAAACAGCCCCUGUGAUUUUGGAUGGAUUUUAUCUGUGUCAUGGUUCUAAUUGUUUUAAAUUUCAAAUUACAUUACAUUCUUUGACAGCCUUCACACUGCAUUGAUAAAAAGUAAAUCUGAACGUUCGAUUUAUUCUUACAACCAAGGAGUGAAAUCACUGGGGAGCUCCCAUGGACUCCAGUUGUUAAACCGAGGAGGAGCGCUGGCAGGGGACCCCGCCGGGCUGCACGUGGAGCGCAGGACGAGAGCGGGGGAGCAGAAGACAGAGACGCAUCCUCCAGCUGAAGAGGAAAUCACCAAGUGGAUUCAUGGGGAGCCGAUGCCCAGAUGCUCUACUCCAGGUUCCACAGACAGUCUUGUCCGUAUGGAGCCAGGCCUGGCAGAGAAGGACACACCCAGAAAGCCGUGGAUCCUGCUGCCCAGUGGUGGCUGGCCCAUGUACACUUUGAAGUGCAUUUUUUUGACUGAAUUUCAGCAGCAUCAGCUUAGCUCCAUGAGAGGAAGAGAUUCUCCAGAGGAAGGGAGGAAGAGGACCUCUCUCUCUUCGGUGACUUCAGAUGCCUCAACCUGAGCCAUGUGUUCCUGAAGGCAAAAACCAGAAAAAAAUCACCAUAGCAUCGGGUAGAGAGUGGUUUGUUUGUAAGACAGUGGUAGCAGGCACAGAGCGUAUUAAGUUUAGGGGAUCAAAAAUGUCUUCUUGGAGGAGGCAGCUUUUCUGCUGGACUUCGAAGAAUGAAUAGGAAUUCAAUAUCCAGAGAGAGCAGGAUACGGCCAUUUGCCCUAGAGGUUCAUUGUGAUCAGAAACACUACAGUAGGAAGGCCCAGAGUGUUCCAGAAAGUGUGUUACCUCUUCCAGAUCAAGUCUUUAGCUCAAAGAAUUAAUACUUAGUAGAUUAGGACAAGAGUUUUGUGGGGGUUUUUUGUUUAAAUGGGAGAGGAGUUUCUGAAAUCUGACCUCAUAGCAUUUUGCCGAUAUUUUGGUACUAAUCUUGUAUUAGUUUGAUUCCUCUGCUUUCAUUUCUGUGUCCUCUCCCCUAAACACUGAGCUACUGAAAGGCAGGGGUAGUGUUCUACUGAGCCAUUACGCUGAGACCUAGCACAGUUCUUGACACAAUGAACAUGCAACAAAUACUUAAUGAAGAAUGAAUAAAUAAAUAUUGUUGGCCUUCCCUAUUCUUGCUUGUAUGUAGAAAAUAUACACACUUUGUGAAGUGAAGAACCUACAUGCUUGUUUUUAAAAUGUAGAAAAAAAAUCAGAAUCAUUGUCAAGAUUUGCCCAACAUUUAUAAUGACCUUUGCUGAAAAGCAAGUCAAAUGUCUUCUUUUCUUAAAGAUCAUAAUUCACAGCUGUCACAUUUCUUCUUAUUUUAUGUGUAACCGUGUGUGCCUUUACAAAUCCAUUUGUGACUAAAUUUUUAAAAAUUGGAAAAAAGCAAUGUCUAAUUGUCCUUUGAAAUUGAUUUACAAAACGUGGCUUUGUUUCAGCUCAGUGUCUUAAGAUGAUAUCAAUCUUAAUUUGAUAUCAAUCUUAAAAUGAUAACAAUCUGAAUUUCUCAUCCUGCCUCAGCUCCUACUAGAGUCUCUGUACAUUUCUGAAUCAUUGAGCUGUGGUCCUUAGAAACCAGGGCAAACUAUCCAUUGGAAAGACGUGCUCUUCUGAAAACAUCUCUCUGCUGGCCAGUAUGCAGCUGGUGGGAAUUACCAGGGUCAUGGUAACAUGAAAAAAACCCCGACAGUUAGGAUUCCGUGAGUG
rnacentral:lncRNA from 1 species